rnacentral:rRNA from 1 species
UGCGUAGGUGGCUGAGCAAGUCAAAGAUGAAAUCCCGGGGCUCACCCUCGGAACUGUUUUUGAAACUGCUUAGCUUGAGGAUGGUUGAGGAGAAUGGAAUUCCCGGUGGAGCGGUGAAAUGCGUAGAUAUCGGGAGGAACACCUGAGGCGAAGGCGAUUCUCUGGACCAUUCCUGACACUGAGGCACGAAAGCUAGGGGAGCGAACG